GAAAGAAGAGUCAGAGGACGA
rnacentral:miRNA from 1 species